UCUGACGGAGCACGCCGCGUGAGUGAUGAAGGCUUUCGGGUCGUAAAACUCUGUUGUUAGGGAAGAACAAGUACAAGAGUAACUGCUUGUACCUUGACGGUACCUAACCAGAAAGCCACGGCUAACUACGUGCCAGCAGCCGCGGUAAUACGUAGGUGGCAAGCGUUAUCCGGAAUUAUUGGGCGUAAAGCGCGCGCAGGCGGUUUCUUAAGUCUGAUGUGAAAGCCCACGGCUCAACCGUGGAGGGUCAUUGGAAACUGGGGAACUUGAGUGCAGAAGAGAAAAGCGGAAUUCCACGUGUAGCGGUGAAAUGCGUAGAGAUGUGGAGGAACACCAGUGGCGAAGGCGGCUUUUUGGUCUGUAACUGACGCUGAGGCGCGAAAGCGUGGGGAGCAAACAGGAUUAGAUACCCUGGUAGUCCACGCCGUAAACGAUGAGUGCUAAGUGUUAGAGGGUUUCCGCCCCUUUAGUGCUGCAG
rnacentral:rRNA from 1 species